rnacentral:rRNA from 1 species
GUGAGGAAUAUUGGUCAAUGGGCGGGAGCCUGAACCAGCCAAGUCGCGUGAAGGAAGAAGGAUCUAUGGUUCGUAAACUUCUUUUGCAGGGGAAUAAAGUGCAGGACGUGUCCUGUUUUGUAUGUACCCUGAGAAUAAGGAUCGGCUAACUCCGUGCCAGCAGCCGCGGUAAUACGGAGGAUCCGAGCGUUAUCCGGAUUUAUUGGGUGUAAAGGGUGCGUAGGUGGUUUGUUAAGUCAGCGGUGAAAGUUUGCAGCUUAACUGUAAAAAUGCCGUUGAGACUGUCGGACUUGAGUGUAAAUGAGGUAGGCGGAAUGCGUGGUGUAGCGGUGAAAUGCAUAGAUAUCACGCAGAACUCCGAUUGCGAAGGCAGCUUACUAAGCUACAACUGACACUGAAGCACGAAAGCGUGGGGAUCAAACAGGAUUAGAUACCCUAGUAGUCC